CACACUAGGGGGGUGGGGGGCGGCCAUCAGCAGAGGUGCUGCCCUGUGAGCGAGCAGUGGUGAUGGUUCUGUCAGGUAGAAAAGUGAGCUGUGUGGGUCCCGUGCUCCUGGCAGUGGUGGCCCCUGUGGGCAGCGCUGGGCUUCUGGGAGCUGCUGUCAGAUGCUCCCUACCUUUUGCACUCAGCUGUCAGGCUUUUGUAUUGUUUUUUUAAAGACUGAUUUUAAAGAAGAUUUAUUUGUUCAUCUGAAAGGCAGAGUUAGGAGACAGGGUGUGGUCUGCCAUCCACUGGUUUGCACCCCAAAUGGCUGUAAUGGUUGGGGCUGGGCCAGGCCAAAGCCAGGAGCCAGAAACUCCAUCUGGGUUUCUCACAUGGGUGCAGGAGCCCAAGCACUUGGGCCAUCGUCCCCUGCCUUCCCAGGUGCAUUAGCAGGGAGCUGGACUGGAAGUGGAGCAGCCGGCACUCAAACAGGUGCUCAUAUGGGAUGCUGGCGUCGCGGGCAGCAGUUUACCCUGCCGGGGCCCAGGCUUCUGUAUUCUGAGACCCAGACUAACGGGGGCUUGGAGGGGGGCUUGUCUUUGUUUUUUCACUGUGCUUUUCCUCAUGGGGAAGCCAGAGGAAUUCCUACCCCUCCUCCCUUCAGCCAACACACACCAUGCGUGUGGGCAUGCAUGUACAGUGUGCACACACACACACACAUACAACACACAUGUGGGAAUUCCUGCCUGGAGGGCUUGGGUUGGAGUAGCCAGGUACUUGUUCCCCACCCCCUCCCUCUCCAGCACUGCCCUGGCUCAGGGUUGCUCACAGCGUCACAGUUUGGCAGUUGCUUAUGUGUAGCUAUGGUUUGGUGGGAAGUUCUACUUCUGAGUAUUUUACCCGAGAUGAACGCAGACAAACAUUAAUACACAACCUGAACACAGGUGUUUAUAAAGGCUUGUUUCCUGAUUGCCCCAAACUGGGAAAGUGCAGAUGCCCAUCUGCUGGUGAAUGGAUGUACAAACGGGCACAUCCGUGUUAUGUACUAACUCAGCCAUGGGAAAAAACACAUGGCUGGUAUGGAUACCACCAAAGAUGGAUUUCAGAUCAUUCACCCCAUGUGAAAGCAGCAGGUUCCCAAAGACAGGGACUCAGAGCUUUGUAAGGGGGUGUGUGUGUGAGAUGAGGCAGAAAGAAGAAGCAGGACCCAGUGGGGAAGACUCAGGCUGAGCCUUGUGAGGAGCACUCCUCAGGUCUGACCGAAGGUCGGGAGGCCUGGGGCAGCAGGUGCGCUCGCCGUGGCCCUCCACAUAAGGGCAGGCUUGUGCUUAGGGUCGAGGGCCUGGAAAGACUUGGUCUGAGGGGCUUAAGAUUUAUGUAUUUAUUUGAAAGGCAGACUUAGAAGCAAAGGCAGAGAGAGAGAGAGAGGUCUUCAUCCACUGGUUCCCUCCCCAAUUGGCCACAAUGGCUGGAGCUGCACUGAUCUGCAGGCAGGAGCCAGGAGCUACUUCCAUGUCUCCCAUGUGCAUGCAGGGGCCCAGGGACUUGGGCCAUCUUCUGCUGCUUUCCUAGGCCAUAGCAGAGACCUGGAUCGGAAGUGGAGCAGCCGGGAUUUGAACCGGCACCCAUAUGGGAUGCUGGAACUGCAGGUGGCGGCUUUACCCACUACACCACAGUGCCGGCCCCAGUCUGAGGGGUUUAAAUGCUACUUAUAAAAUGGUGGGCUUAUUUCCUAGGCUUUUGGACAGUCCUUUCUCCAGCCUGACAUCCACCUUUUGAAGCAAAAUCUCUUCAACUUGGAGACUCUCAACACCAAGCAGAAGCUGUACCACAAGAAGACCUUCCGGACCACCAUGCUGUUCCAGUUCGUGAACGUGCUGCUCCAGGUCCUCGUUCACAAGUCCCAUGACCUCCUGCAGGAGGAGCUCGGCAUCGCCAUUUACAACAUGGCCUCUGUGGACUUCGACGGCUUCUUUGCGGCCUUCCUGCCAGAGUUCCUGACUGUGACGGUGUGGAUGCCAACCAGAAAAACGUGUUGGGGCAGAGUUUCAAGAUGGAUCCGGUGAG